rnacentral:rRNA from 1 species
GAUGAACGCUGGCGGCGUGCUUAACACAUGCAAGUCGAACGGCGAACACGGAGCUUGCUCUGUGGGAUCAGUGGCGAACGGGUGAGUAACACGUGAGCAACCUGCCCCUGACUCUGGGAUAAGCGCUGGAAACGGCGUCUAAUACUGGAUACGAGUAGCGGCCGCAUGGUCAGUUACUGGAAAGAUUUUUUGGUUGGGGAUGGGCUCGCGGCCUAUCAGCUUGUUGGUGAGGCAAUGGCUCACCAAGGCGUCGACGGGUAGCCGGCCUGAGAGGGUGACCGGCCACACUGGGACUGAGACACGGCCCAGACUCCUACGGGAGGCAGCAGUGGGGAAUAUUGCACAAUGGGCGGAAGCCUGAUGCAGCAACGCCGCGUGAGGGAUGACGGCCUUCGGGUUGUAAACCUCUUUUAGCAGGGAAGAAGCGAAAGUGACGGUACCUGCAGAAAAAGCGCCGGCUAACUACGUGCCAGCAGCCGCCGCCG